AUCGAGCGCAACCCUUGAUCUUAGUUGCCAGCAUUCAGUUGGGCACUCUAAGGUGACUGCCGGUGACAAACCGGAGGAAGGUGGGGAUGACGUCAAAUCAUCAUGCCCCUUAUGACCUGGGCUACACACGUGCUACAAUGGGCAGAACAAAGGGCAGCGAAGCCGCGAGGCUAAGCCAAUCCCACAAAUCUGUUCUCAGUUCGGAUCGCAGUCUGCAACUCGACUGCGUGAAGCUGGAAUCGCUAGUAAUCGCGGAUCAGCAUGCCGCGGUGAAUACGUUCCCGGGCCUUGUACACACCGCCCGUCACACCACGAGAGUUUGUAACACCCGAAGUCGGUGAGGUAACCUUUGGAGCCAGCCGCCGAAGGUGGACAGGUGC
rnacentral:rRNA from 1 species